CGCUGAAUGUUUUGUUUAAGGACGUGAGCAAUGAUGCGUCCGAUUAUCAAUGAGGGGCCAAAAUUUGCUGCGGUAUACCCCCCUUUCCCCAACUUUUAGAAAAUUGUACUAUUCCGGAAACGUUACAUGCCUAUUCGCCAACAAAUUUUGGGAAAAGAAGUAUUAAUUAGCAAUUGAAAUGCUGUCGGCAAAUGCGAUGCCCCCCACCAACCUUAACCUUUUCGCUACGGCCCUGGUGUGGAUAUCACUAUAGUUCCAUCCAUUCAUGGACCAAGUUGUUAAAGUGAUUUAACUUCAAAGAGUACAUCUAACAAAGUCUGUCUUACGAACACAGUGUGGGGAGCAGGGAAAGAUAGAGGAAUGCAAGAUAAUGCCUUACUUGUGCUUCUGUUUAUCUACUCUUUGAUACUGCUUUUUAUGCAAAAAGCGCCCCAAUAACAACUUCAACAACUACGGUAAUAAUGAUCGCAGCAACAACAAUAAAAGAAUGAGCAGACAUAGGGUGUUCGACGGUCAGAUGAAUAAGGGCAAAAAUUUGACAUUCAGCAGGGAUGGAUCCAGCCACAUCUGGUACAGCGUGCUUAUCGAGUUUGGUCAUGGCUCGUGGUGUGACAUUGACAAAGUGUCUUAGAGAUCGAGUUAGCCAGCAAGGAACUAUCUGUGGUCUUGCAUUUCACAAUCAUGUUACUGUCUCAUCUUGCUCUAAUUUUAUUUCUAUUUUUGUAAAUGCUUUACCAAAUCUAAAAAUGGAAUGGAUACGGAAAUUAUCCCCACUCCCCUUCCCUUAACAAAAGCUAGGAAGGGUGUUCAGCCCACUGCUUCUCCAGCAAGUUAAUCCCUAACAUGCAGAGAUUGUGCCGUUUGGUUCAUUUUACAUUUCAGACAAUGAGGAAUCUGACGCCUUUAUUUCGUAUUCUCUCACACCGCGCUAGCCUCAGCCCGGGUGCCUUACAACUUUCUCUUUUCACAAGCAUUCUUAUUCCAAAUUGAACUUUUAGUCUUUUAAUAUCAUAUGCGGAGGAACAUGGACCAGAAAACUCUGCCAUUAUGUGCUUCAAUUGAUCGACUUUUUGUCUCUGGAAUUACUCGUUAUCAGUUCUAGCUUACACGAUGCGAAUAUAAUUGAAGAAGCCUUUUACUUUAAAGGCGAACGGGACGAGGGUAUUGAAGAUUUUCCUCCUUCAUUAAAUGAAAAUUGACAUUUGAGUUGAAAAUUAAAUUAAUCUUUUUCAUACGAAAAAUGAGACUGGAUAUCUGGGGUGAGACGAGGAUUAUGAUGUCGCUAACGUAACUGUAGCAAGCGAAAAAACGUGAAACUUGAUGUUUUAUUACUAUUUUGACUAAUCAACACAUUUUGGAAAUGGCAGUGGUCCAAGCAUUGGAUUUCCUGCAAUAAAUAUCCGAAUAACAAUUUGUAUUGUCUCGGUUAGGUGGGAGUUGGGAGAGAUUAUAUAUGACAAAAUCAUGACCUUCAGGCAAGACCUGCGGGUAAGAUGCUAUGAAACUAAGAAAAGCUACAUAGUAUUUGAAUUUCUUAUCGUUAAUAAGCUUUGUUUAAGAACAUGCACAUUUCAGUCAAAUCUUGAAAUUACGGUGUUUUUGUCGAAAUUUUUCAUCCCACUUAGCCGAGAUCAUGCGAUGUUUGAAUCCUGUAUACAGCUCGCUACGAGUUGUAGUUUGUUAUCGUUUGCGGAUAUUCCAGUAAAAUGAGCAAGAGAUUCACUGAACUAUUCAAGAGCUUUUCAAACCGUAGUAUUUUGAUAACCUGAAAUUGAAAACGAAAUACAAUUUGCAGGAAAUUCUCGUGCUGCAUGUAAAACCAUGUUUUAUUAUUAAUUAAUCAAAUAAUUAAGAAAAUUUUUUAAAGAAUAUGAUGCGAAGCUAGCCAGAGCAACUGGUCAUGCUAUAAUAAGUUUUUAGACGUUCUCUGUUUUUUAAAUAUUUAUUAUUACGAGCUUUCGACCGCCAGUCUGCAGUCUUCAACGGGUGGAGUGUAAUAGCCUCAAACAUAUUUAAAUGGUCAUGCUAUGCUAUUAAACUUGCAUCUAAAUAGGUUGAAGACCAUACAUUUCUAAAAGUUUGAAUAUGCAAAUCACAACUUGUUGCUAUGGCUAGCUCGCCACUGAAAAUGCAUGAUUGAAUUCAGUACACAAGAAAUCAAUAACAUAUCAAUAGUUUAUUGUAAGAAUAUUUCCAAGAUAAGCGUAUUUUAGU